rnacentral:lncRNA from 1 species
GACGGCCGGCGGAGCGAGCGGGCCAGCGAUCGGGUGAGCGCGCGGCCGGGGCUCUUGGGCCCGGGGCGGGGUCGGCGCGGAGCAGCGGCGGGGAGCUCGUGCGGAGAACCGGCGGGGCGGCCCGGCCCGGCCCCGCGCCCGCGCCCGCGCCCAUGACGGCGGCCGUGCUCCGGGAGGGCGUGCUGGAGAAGCGCAGUGGCGGGCUGCUGCAGUUGUGGAAGCGCAAGCGUUGCGUGCUCACCGAGCGCGGGCUGCAGCUCUUCGAGGCCAAGGGCGCGGGCGGCCGUCCCAAGGAGCUGAGUUUCGCCCGCAUCAAGGCGGUGGAGUGCGUGGAGAGCACGGGGCGCCACAUCUACUUCACGCUGGUGACCGAGGGCGGCGGCGAGAUCGACUUCCGCUGCCCGCUCGAGGACCCCGGCUGGAACGCGCAGAUCACCCUGGGCCUGGUCAAGUUCAAGAACCAGCAGGCUAUCCAGACGGUGCGCGCGCGGCAGAGCCUGGGGGCCGGGACCCUGGUGUCUUAAGCCGCGGACGGACGUCUCCGCUCCACGCGGCCCAUUGACGCAGCGCGGAGGUGGUGUCAGCCCCCUGCCUCUCCAGCUUUUGCGGGCCGACUGCCCCAUCGGGCAGGGUGGAAGCCAUGGACGCGUGGAAGAGGCGUGGGAACCUAAGCCUUGCCGGGCCUGGGAGGAGGGCAGAUGGCCACGUGGGGCUGAGGAUGAAGAUUCAGCCCUUGUAGAUGCAGACUCUCGGGAUGGACCAGCUCAGACCUUGCAGCCACCUGCCUGGCCUCCGAGAUGGUGACGGGAGCUGGCAUCACAGACCCCUCCCGCCAUGCCCUGCCAUCUGUCCUGCAGACUACUCUUGGUCCCCGGGCUUGGGCCAUGCCUGGAGGAAGGCAGACCCCCGGGGGCGCUCAGCCAGCGCCUCAGGACUCAGGAGGCCAGCCUGACGCUCAGAAGAGGAAACUCCCCACCCCAACUCCCCUCUGGAUUCACUUUGGCGGGGGUCACUGAUGGGCCUGCGGCCCACGCUUUGGGGUCGUCUGCUGCUUGGGUCCUUCUGGGACCCCCACCCAUUCAGGCCUCUCUUUGCACAGUUCUUCCCCCUCCUGCCCAUCUUCUCCCCACUGCAGUGCUAGGCCUGGAGGUGGUGGGGGUGGUCGGGGGUUCAGCCAUUACCAUUUCAUUACCAUUUCAUGCCUAUCCCAACCCGCAGCCGCUCUGCCUGCAAAGGCAGCGCUCACACUGUUCACUGAAUGAAAUUCUUUGCCCACAAAGACCUGGUGUUUGGAACAUCUGUUUCCUCACCCCCACUUUCCCAGUCUGCAUCCCACCCCUAAACUUCCAGGCUGGGGAGGGAGAGACCCUGGAGCCCAGGGGACAGGACCUCAGAGGUCCUAGGAGGGAGAGACUAUGAGACCGGGACGGGAGGUGUUGCCCUGGCCAGCUCAGUCUCCAGAGAUGCCCCUUUUGUUUUUUUAUGGCUGCACCUGCAGCACAUGGAAGUUCCCCAGCCAGGGGUCGAAUCAGAGCCGUGGCUGCAGCUGCCAGCCUACAGCGCAGCCAUGGCAACAUGGGAUCCGAGCCACAUCUGUGACUUAGGCAACACGGGAUCCUUAAUCCACUGAGCGAGGCCAGGGAUCAAACCUGCAUCCUCAUGGACCCUAUGCCGGGUCCUUAACCUGCUAGCCACAGCAGGACAUCCCAGAGAGAUGCCCCUUCGGCCUGCGCUCCUGGAGGCAGCUCUGCUUGCUGGCCAGGGCUUAUCUCUUUGCCAUUUGCACACUUGGGCUUUGUGCAUGAAUGCAGUAAGUCUUGGAGUUCCCUGGUGGCCUAGUGGUGAAGGAUCCAGGGUUAUCACGGCAGUGGUGCAGUUCUAUCUCCGGCCCCAGGAACUUUCGCAUGCUGUGGGUGUGGCCUAAAAAUAAACACUGUGUUUUCC